rnacentral:rRNA from 2 species
UUAAAAUGAGAGUUUGAUCCUGGCUCAGGACGAACGCUGGCGGCGUGCCUAAUACAUGCAAGUCGAACGAAACUUUCUUACACCGAAUGCUUGCAUUCACCGUAAGAAGUUGAGUGGCGGACGGGUGAGUAACACGUGGGUAACCUGCCUAAAAGAAGGGGAUAACACUUGGAAACAGGUGCUAAUACCGUAUAUCUCUAAGGAUCGCAUGAUCCUUAGACGAAAGAUGGUUCUGCUAUCGCUUUUAGAUGGACCCGCGGCGUAUUAACUAGUUGGUGGGGUAACGGCCUACCAAGGUGAUGAUACGUAGCCGAACUGAGAGGUUGAUCGGCCACAUUGGGACUGAGACACGGCCCAAACUCCUACGGGAGGCAGCAGUAGGGAAUCUUCCACAAUGGACGCAAGUCUGAUGGAGCAACGCCGCGUGAGUGAAGAAGGUCUUCGGAUCGUAAAACUCUGUUGUUAGAGAAGAACACGAGUGAGAGUAACUGUUCAUUCGAUGACGGUAUCUAACCAGCAAGUCACGGCUAACUACGU